rnacentral:misc_RNA from 1 species
GAUGAGAACGUAGCGAAAUGCGAUAAGUAAUGUGAAUUGCAGAAUUCAGUGAAUCAUCGAAUCUUUGAACGCACAUUGCGCCCCUUGGUAUUCCGGGGGGCAUGCCUGUUCGAGCGUCAUUACAACCCUCAAGCUCUGCUUGGUCUUGGGCGUCACCGGUCCCCGGUGUGCCUUAAAAUCAGUGGCGGCGCCAUCUGGCUCUAAGCGUAGUACAUACUCUCGCUACAGACGUCCGGUGGAUGCUGGCCAGCAACCCCCAAUUUAUCAAGGUUGACCUCGGAUCAGGUAGGGAUACCCGCUGAACUUAAGCAUAUCAAUAAGCGGAGGA